rnacentral:rRNA from 1 species
UACGUAGGGGGCUAGCGUUGUCCGGAAUCAUUGGGCGUAAAGCGCGUGUAGGCGGUCCGGUAAGUCCGCUGUGAAAGUCGGGGGCUCAACCCUCGGAUGCCGGUGGAUACUGUCGGGCUUGAGUACGGAAGAGGCGAGUGGAAUUCCUGGUGUAGCGGUGAAAUGCGCAGAGUAUCAAGGAGGAACACCAAUUGCGAAGGCAGCUCGCUGGGACGGUAACUGACGCUGAGACGCGAAAGCGUGGGGAGCGAACAGG